rnacentral:rRNA from 1 species
GCGAACGGGUGAGUAACACGUGGGCAAUCUGCCCUGCACUCUGGGACAAGCCCUGGAAACGGGGUCUAAUACCGGAUAUGACCUUCCUCCGCAUGGGGGUUGGUGUAAAGCUCCGGCGGUGCAGGAUGAGCCCGCGGCCUAUCAGCUUGUUGGUGGGGUAAUGGCCUACCAAGGCGACGACGGGUAGCCGGCCUGAGAGGGCGACCGGCCACACUGGGACUGAGACACGGCCCAGACUCCUACGGGAGGCAGCAGUGGGGAAUAUUGCACAAUGGGCGAAAGCCUGAUGCAGCGACGCCGCGUGAGGGAUGACGGCCUUCGGGUUGUAAACCUCUUUCAGCAGGGAAGAAGCGCAAGUGACGGUACCUGCAGAAGAAGCACCGGCUAACUACGUGCCAGCAGCCGCGGUAAUACGUAGGGUGCGAGCGUUGUCCGGAAUUAUUGGGCGUAAAGAGCUCGUAGGCGGCCUGUCGCGUCGGAUGUGAAAGCCCGGGGCUUAACCCCGGGUCUGCAUUCGAUACGGGCAGGCUAGAGUGUGGUAGGGGAGAUCGGAAUUCCUGGUGUAGCGGUGAAAUGCGCAGAUAUCAGGAGGAACACCGGUGGCGAAGGCGGAUCUCUGGGCCAUUACUGACGCUGAGGAG